CCUACGGGUGGCAGCAGUGGGGAAUAUUGCACAAUGGGGGAAACCCUGAUGCAGCGACGCCGCGUGAAGGAAGAAGUAUUUCGGUAUGUAAACUUCUAUCAGCAGGGAAGAAAAUGACGGUACCUGACUAAGAAGCCCCGGCUAACUACGUGCCAGCAGCCGCGGUAAUACGUAGGGGGCAAGCGUUAUCCGGAUUUACUGGGUGUAAAGGGAGCGUAGGCGGUUUAGCAAGUCAGAAGUGAAAGCCCGGGGCUCAACGCCGGGACUGCUUUUGAAACUGUUGAACUAGAGUGCAGGAGAGGUAAGUGGAAUUCCUAGUGUAGCGGUGAAAUGCGUAGAUAUUAGGAGGAACACAAGUGGCGAAGGCGGCUUACUGGACUGUAAAUGACGCUGAGGCUCGAAAGCGUGGGGAGCAAACAGGAUUAGAUACCCUUGUAGUC
rnacentral:rRNA from 1 species